CUACGUGCCAGCAGCCGCGGUAAUACGUAGGUCCCGAGCGUUGUCCGGAUUUAUUGGGCGUAAAGCGAGCGCAGGCGGUUAGAUAAGUCUGAAGUUAAAGGCUGUGGCUUAACCAUAGUACGCUUUGGAAACUGUUUAACUUGAGUGCAAGAGGGGAGAGUGGAAUUCCAUGUGUAGCGGUGAAAUGCGUAGAUAUAUGGAGGAACACCGGUGGCGAAAGCGGCUCUCUGGCUUGUAACUGACGCUGAGGCUCGAAAGCGUGGGGAGCAAACAGGAUUAGAUACCCUGGUAGUCCACGCCGUAAACGAUGAGUGCUAGGUGUUAGACCCUUUCCGGGGUUUAGUGCCGUAGCUAACGCAUUAAGCACUCCGCCUGGGGAGUACGACCGCAAGGUUAAAACUCAAAUGAAUUGACGGGGGCCCGCACAAGCGGUGGAGCAUGUGGUUUAAUUCGAUGCAACGCGAAGAACCUUACCUACUCUUGACAUCCAGA
rnacentral:rRNA from 1 species